rnacentral:sRNA from 1 species
AAACUCACUUCCCUGCUCCCACCUUCUUGCCCCUUGGGGAUGCUCUCUGGGGCUCAGGCCAAUUUGCAUACAUUUUAAUCUAUAAAAAAUUAAGUGCUCUGGCUGACUCAGAUGCCUGGGCUGCAUUCUAAGGAGGUUCACAGAGGCCGAAGUGAUGGUGAUGGGUGACGUGACCUAUGGGGCUUGCUGUGUGGAUGACUUCACAGCGAGGGCCCUGGGAGCUGACUUCUUGGUGCACUACGGCCACAGCUGCCUGAUUCCCAUGGACACCUCGGCCCAAGACUUCCGGGUGCUGUAUGUCUUUGUGGACAUCCGGAUAGACACUACCCACCUCCUAGACUCUCUCCGCCUCACCUUUCCCCCAGCCACUGCCCUCGCCCUGGUCAGCACCAUUCAGUUUGUGUCGACCUUGCAGGCAGCCGCUCAGGAGCUGAAAGCCGAGUAUCGUGUGAGUGUCCCACAGUGCAAGCCCCUGUCCCCUGGAGAGAUCCUGGGCUGCACAUCCCCCCGACUGUCCACAGAGGUGGAGGCCGUUGU